UUAACGGACAGAUAACACCGGAGCUGAUUCUCUCGACACAGUUGAGAUAGUGAUGGGUUUGGAGGAAGAGUUUGGGAUAACAAUGGCGGAAGAAAGAGCAAUGGAGAUUGCAACAGUCCAACAGGGCUGCUGAACUCAUUGAAGAACUUGUCCAAGAGAAGACCGCUUAAUUAAGGAAACAACCAACGGCUUUUGUCUUUGUUAUUGUCUUUUGCUCAAUUGUGUCAAUGCUUUGUUGUAUGUCUCUGCCCUAGUGGUUAGUUGUGUCAA